AUAAAAUGAUCACAAGACCAGCAUGUUUAAAAAAGGAUCUCAUAUGUUAUCUUUAUCAACCUCGACUCGUUAUUUAGCAUAAUUCUUAUUGAAUUUAUCCACGACGUAAAGAAACUGAAGCUAGUGAAAGAUUUCCUGUGGCUUCAGUAUCAAGAUCUUCAAGCAUUUUAUCUUCACAAACCGGAUUAGUAUUUAUAGUUUUUAGCCUUGACUGAGAGAUGUAGCGGUUCCAAAGUAUUGGAUUGUAUUAUAUGGGGAAGCAUCAAUUACACCCCUCUUCUUUACAUGUAUUCGAGUUUGGAGUAUCUCAUCUGUGGGAGUCUGGUACUUUUUUUUCCUUUAAUGGAGAAUCUGAUACUAUUGGUAUUGAACUUUGAUAUUGGCCAGUUGAGAGGAAAUUUCAGUCUAUUUUGAGACUCUUAAGCAUUUGAGCUCAGUGGCGGAGCUACAUAGUGUCCAAGGGCAUUACAGGACAUCACUGGAUUGUUUAUUUUAUGAACAUUUUUACUUAUUUUUAUAUGUACUUGCUAUUUGUGACACCACUGAGAUUAAAACAACACCAUUAGGGAGGAUAAUACUGGGCAUUGCCUACUGCCAUGAACACAUUAGCUAUGUAGUGACACCACUGGGAAAAAAUCCUAGCAUGCUCUUUUAUCUUUUCAUGGCAUCCAAUUUCUGACACGAUAAAAUUAAAGGGGCAUGUUGAGAUUC